rnacentral:snRNA from 1 species
AGAUGUGAGGGCGAUCUGGCUGCGACAUUUGUCACCCCAUUGAUCGCCAGGGAUGAUUUGGCUGAUCUGGCUGGCUAGGCGGGUGUCCCCUUCCUCCCUCACCACUCCAUGUGUGUCCCUCCCAAUGCUGCGUGCUCAGUAGAAGAGGACGACCUUCACCGCUAGAGGAGGACCAGUCUUCGGUCAAGGGUAUACGAGUAACUGUGCUCCCCUGCUAGAACCUCCAAACAAGCUCUCAACUACUUCUUCUGGAAAGACAUGGUAGAUCUACCUAUUUCAUCACCUUUAGUUCUUUGUGUUCUCAGAUUCCUGGCACU